CGAUUAAAAUUCCAAACAAACAGCAACAAAAAAAUUUUCUCUUAUAGGCACCGAUUUUGAUCUGAUAGUGUGAACGUGGCUGUUAUCACACUCGUCAAAACUCUGAGCGCAAGCUGUGAUAAGACGCUCUGAUAAAAAUUCGGAGGAGCUUUUGACAGGACUCGAUUGCCAAUUUCCUAAGACGCUAUCUCGUACUGAGCUUUCGCCGGCUUCCUGCUUCCAUCAUCAAGAAAAAUUUUCCACCAACCUGUGUGCUGUGCCGGCUGUCACGUUGUAGACGUAGCGCUGAUCGGGGGCGGCUGUCGACGUCGGAGGCGGCAAGACGACUGAAGUAAAGCCAUCGGCGACAUGGUACAUAUCUGAUAGCGAUUACCGAUCCUGCAGAGGUUCGCGCAUAAGCACUGGACACCUGCUUUCUAGUCGCUACACUUCGCCAGGACUUCGUCCUGAAACCCUCGAACCAAGGAUAAUUUUCCUCCAACACAAAGGAAUCCGCCGACGCGCGAUAUGUCUUUUAUUUUUUCAGUCUGCGCAAACUGGUCGAUGUGUUUAUGAAGCUGUCAACUGGGCUGCUUUCCGUUAAUAUGGGAUGUGUGCGAGCGAAAAGCUCAUCAUGAGAUUUAUCGAUUCGAUUUAAAAUUUGGCACAAAUCCCUACAGGUAUUGGUUUAAGUUUCAAGUUUUUGUGGAGGAUGAGGAGCUUUUGACGGCAUCGACGGAACAAAGCCGAUUUUGGCGCCAUGCCGGAGGUUACUGGUGUUGUUUUUUUUUAUGGUGUUGUGGAUGAAAAAUUGGGAGUUAUUUCCAGAGCUGCUGGCAGGGAAGUUGUGUUUUAGCAUCUUGUUGCUUCUCGCUGGGCAUAUUUGCAUUUAUGUUAUUGGAUGUGGUCAAUAAUUAGCGAGAAUGAUUUAUGUUUACUCGUUAUGAAGGUGUUAAUAUUUUUAUGGCUCUAUUAUCUCGCGUCUAAUCAGUACAGGUUAAACAAAAGCAAAUAGAAGCAUAUUUGCAUACUGAGUCGAGGUGAAUAAAAUAUGUAAGACACAGACAUGAAUAUGGAAUGAAGAAUUAAAGACUGCAGUGAGAUUCUCGACAGAAAAUGAAAUUUUGUUGACCCUAAGAAUUAUAUUAAGCAGUGGUAACUAAUCACUUUAGAAUUCGAGAUUAAUGUUCGAAAGCAGAUUCCAGCCAAGUCAAAAUAAUCAGAACAGUAAGACUCUAUAAGGUAACUUUUCAAUUUAACAUGUUUAAAUACAAUUAAAAUGUAAAAAGAUACAAAAAUACAAUACUAUUCCAUGUAUUAAUUGUUGUUCAAUAAAAGUACU